rnacentral:rRNA from 1 species
CGAACGCGAAAGUUCCCUUCGGGGGGCGAGUAGAGUGGCGCACGGGUGAGUAACACGUAGGUAAUCUACCUUUGGGUGGGGAAUAACAGCCGGAAACGGCUGCUAAUACCGCAUAAUGCAGCGGCUCGACAUCGAGACAGUUGUUAAAGCGGGGGAUCGCAAGACCUCGCGCCUAAAGAGGAGCCUGCGGCGGAUUAGCUUGUUGGUGAGGUAAUGGCUCACCAAGGCAUCGAUCCGUAGCCGGCCUGAGAGGGCGGUCGGCCACACUGACACUGACAUACGGGUCAGACUCCUACGGGAGGCAGCAGUCGGGAAUUUUGGGCAAUGGGCGCAAGCCUGACCCAGCAACGCCGCGUGAAGGAUGAAAUCCCUCGGGAUGUAAACUUCGCAAGAACAGGAAGAAUAAGUGGGGGACAAUACCCCCCAUGAUGACGGUACUGUUUGUAAGCUCCGGCUAACUCCGUGCCAGCAGCCGCGGUAAUACGGGGGGAGCAAGCGUUAUUCGGAUUUACUGGGCGUAAAGGGCGCGUAGGCGGUCGUGACAAGUCACUUGUGAAAUCUCCGGGCUUAACUCGGAAAGGUCAAGUGAUACUGUCGGACUAGAGUGCAGAAGGGGCAACUGGAAUUCUCGGUGUAGCGGUGAAAUGCGUAGAUAUCGAGAGGAACACCUGCGGCGAAGGCGGGUUGCUGGGCUGACACUGACGCUGAGGCGCGAAAGCCAGGGGAGCGAACGGGAUUAGAUACCCCGGUAGUCCUGGCCUUAAACGAUGAAUGCUUGGUGUCUCGGGUUACAUAGUCCCGGGGUGCCGUCGCUAACGCUUUUAGCAUUCCGC